GGGGAGGAGCAGGAACUGGAACAGGAGGAGCACGAAGGGGAGCAGGCCGAGCGGGAGCGGGAGCGGGAGCGGCAGCAGUGGAAGGAGCGUUGCGGGGUUCCACGGCGAGCCCGCAGCUCGGCUGGGCCCGGCAGCAUCGCAUUGCCCCGCGUCCCGCAGCAAGCAAGCAAGCAGCGCUGGGUGGCCGGGGAGUCGCUGCUCCACUCAUGGCACACACCACUUACAAGUUUGGUGGUCGUUGAUUCCUAUCCUUCUUGUGUUCAUCUGGAGGGAGGCCUUACACUAGUGUCUGCUACAUGAUUUUGUCAAGUGCAUCAAACUUUUUAUUAUACAUAACUAUUUAAUUGCUUUGUUGCAAUAUCUCUUAGCUUUACCCCAACUUCCUCCAUUUUAUUCUAAGCAUCAGUCGUCUUGCUACCUCAUCUCUUUUACUCUACUAUACUACUUUGAUUUUGAUGUUUUAUUUGGCUAUUUGGUCAGAAAGUUUCACAGCUUUUCUUUGUGUCUAUUUUGGACACAGCAGAUAGAAGUAUUUGCUGAUUCCAUUGCCAAUUGACACAAAUCACAAAAACAUUUUUCACAAUCCUUCCCCUUUAUGUUAUUGAUUCAUGUCUUUGCUUCAAACUGAGCUAAUACUUUUUGGGUUGCAGUUUUUCGGUUCUGCUUUGCCUUGAGUAUCACAAGGGAGUGAGUUUCUUCUCCCGUGGUUGUUAUUUUAGGGUUUAUGGGUGUUGCUGAAAUCUGCAUUCCCUGGAUCACUGAGUAUAUUAGCCUAAUAAAGCAUGGAACCAUACAUGGUAUAAACAAUACACCUAAUGCAGAACAAAGCAACAUGAACCCUCAUUUUUCCACCAGGCUCCUUCAAACAAAUUAUUCCAUUAUUAUUAGUUGUCAGUUAAUAUGGAAUUCCAUUUUUGUACUGGAACAUGUUCAGCUUGUUUAAUUUCGCCUGUCAAAUUUGUAAUAGCUUCUCCAUUAUCAUCAGUCUCUAAACAGCACUCCGACGUACUAAAUUUUCCACAAAAUGCCCUUCUUCAGCUAAUAAAUAAUCUAGGACUAGCCUAUUCUGAUAUACUGCCACUCUGGUCUGGGUUAGUUGUCUAGCUACAAGCUUCAGUGCCUCUGAUGUUUGAUUAGAAGCAAUUUCUACAGUGGCCUGUAAUCUAAUGAUUCGGUUAAGCAUAUACAUAGGGAUUCUAUAACCCCAGCUGCAGUCCUGAGCUCAGGAGGCAGGAUUGAAGUAAUCUGUGAUCUGUUGGGAAGUCCAUUCUUCAUUUUUCCAGGUCUGUUUUCCUCCUAUUUCAGUUUGUUUUCUUCUGCGCAGAGUUUCAUAAAGAGGUGGUCCUGAACAUUCACCUUUGCUCUUUGGUAGCAAAAAGAAUGCAGGUUGUAUAAUUCCAAUUGUACAGGUACCUCUCCAUCUCUUUGAUAUUCAUUAUAUGCCCUUUUUCCAGUGAUCCAAAAUAAUCCAUCUGAAGCUGUCCAAUUUUCAGCCAUCUUACGCAGAUUUUCCCAAUAUCCCCUAAGAUCUUUUACCUCGUCAAAAGGAUUAGCAUGUGUUACACUUUUCCAGAAAACAGUACCCUUGGUACAGUUGAUAGACCAAUAACCUGUUGGUGGUUUCGGCCACCAUGUUGUAAAAGUGGAGUCGGUGGUAUAUAUUAUCUUGCAGUGGGUUUGUACUAUGUUUGUAAUAAAAUUGUUUCCUUUCCUAGAAAUACAAAUUCGAUCUACUACUUCGUGACUCAAUGUUUACCCGUCAGGUUGAAUUUCAUUAAAUCUUUGUGUCCUGUUCCAUAAUAUAAACUGAUCAGGUCCAACCCCUUCUCCUCUCUAUGCCAUUGCUCGGUCAUUUAGGAUCCCCAUAAACUCAAUAGUUAGUCACAUUUAAUUCCUUAACUACUUUUUGCAUCAGAUUAAUACACAUUUUUUUUCCUAACAUAGGGAGGUCCCAGUCACUGGAUCUUUUCUGUAUUUUUUUAUACAGGUCACUUCCUGCUCUUGUUCUUUUUUGGUUUGAAUUUCCCCUAAAUUCUUUGUGACUUUUUUUACUAAUUCUUCCUUGAAUUUGUACCCCCCCCCAUUUAUCUGAGUAUCCCCACAUUCCACCUUUGGUAAAACAGAGGAAUGGUUCUCCUCAGGGACAAAAUUGGUAGUUUCGAGGUGCCCAUCCUCCCAUUCCUGAAUUUGUUGCUACCCAGUAACUCUUUUCUCCUAUUGUACAGGUUUCAAGUUUUCCUGGCUCAUAACAUCAUGCAUUAAUAUGAGUGUUUGGUGCAAACGCUCAGGCUGUGGUCCGGCCAUACUUUACAUUUUGGUAGCCCUUCAAGCAGGGACUGGUUAUCCCAUUCUGUGGAAGACUCAGCAGUAGCAGAAGGCCCCACAGUUUUAUUAUCCCUCUUCCUUCUCUGCCUACUGUGAGGGGUAUCAUCUUCUCGGCAGCAAGGAUAUUCUUCAUGGGUUCUGUAUGAGCUUUCCUGGGUUUCAUGCCAUUUCUUAAAUAGUUCCCAGUUCUUUGCUUUGACUGGCUCAGAUCCGCAAGGCACUCGAUUACGUUUGAGAUGCUCAAUCUUUUUAUUAUUUGCCUAACUUGAUUGUCCCCCUUUUAAUCCGUAUUUCCACAACAUUCGCCACUCAUAAUAAUCUAGUUCUAAUGUUCCUUCCUCUAUUCUCUUUUUUUUAACAAUAUAUUCAGUUAAAAUCUGUUCAAUGUGUUUACACUCUGGACACAAUCCACUUGGAGGAUAACCCCUGUGACAAUGAUAAUACCACCUCUCCUUACAAUAGUUUCAUUCAGUGCUUCCAAAGGAUAGCAAUUACAAUCCUGAUCAGUACAGGUUAUUUUAUCUCCCAGCAUCUCUUGAGAAUAUGGCAUCCCGUAUAAUGCCUUACACGGGGAGAUCCCAUGCUCUGAGUUCAGCAUUGUUCGAAUAUUUAACAAUGCCAAUGGUAAGCACUUAAUCCCAGAUAGUUUUGUUUCAAUCAUUAGUUUUGCUAGCUGAUGCUUUAGGGCCUGGUUCAUUCUUUCUAUUCUCCCCAAACUGUGAGGUUGCCAAGGGGUAUAUUAUUCCCAAGAGACCCCUAGAGCUUUCAUUACUUCUUUUAACACUUUUGAGGUAAAGUGGGAACCCUGAUCUGAAUCAAUCACUCCAAUCAUCCCAAAUCGUGGAAUUAUUUCUUCUAAACUAAUCUUUGUAACAAAAUGUGCUGUUGUUUGUGUCACAGGGUAGGUCUCUAUCCAAUGAAUUAAUUGGUCUACUAUUACUAACAAAUACUUAUCUCUUCCUGCUUUCAGUAAUUUGGUAAAAUCCACUUGUAUCUUUUCAAAAGGCCUAUAUGCAGUUUUUCUGCCUCCCUGUGGGGUCUGUCUAGAUGUCUUCUUGGUAAUUUUCUGGCAAAUAAUGCAUCCUUCUGUCUUCUGUUUUGCUAUAUCAAAUAUUCUUAGACACCCUAAAAACUUUAAAAAGUGGUCAUGUAGUGCUCGUGUUCCCCAAUGAGUUCAUUAGUGCAACUGGUGAAUUAUUCUUCUAACAUGACUUUUAGAUAGCAUUUCUCUACCAUCUGGUAAAAGCCACUUAUCCUCUUCUAGCUUAGCCCCUAGUUUCUCCAUCUCUUGUAUUUCCUUUGAGAUAUAGAAUUUUUGAUACUUUGUAUCAUUUUCAUUUUUGCUGCCCUUUGUGCUUCUGCAUCAGCCAAAUUAUUCCCAUGAGUCCAAUAAUCUGUUCCCCUCUGGGGUCCUCUUAUAGGGACAACAGCUAUCUCUGAUGGACCCCUCAAAGCUUCUAAUACUCUUACUCUUAUGGAAACAAUUGGAUUACUUGUUUCUAUCUUAAUGGGUCCAAUCUUCAGCUUUCCUAUUAUGGUGCCAGACUUUGGGAAUAAUUUUGUCUUCCUCUUCUGACGUUAAGGUACCGCCACCCCCCCCCGCCCCCAGCAGUUAGGGCACCGGAAUUUUGGGGUGCUGGUGUGGCCAGGACAGCGAGAGAAGGAGGCAAAAGAAGGUUUUGGGGAUGCUGUGGGUGCUGUCACACACCUGGCAGCCCCUUAGGGAUGUGAGGACACAGCAGGUGGAGGUCUUGGCUUGUUGGGUGUCACAGGAGUUAAAUGAGUGCUAUGUGGGUAUGGGCAGGGGAUGUUUAGGUGACAACCCUAAAUGGGGUUGUCACCACACAAGUGGGGGUUAUAACCCCCUAAACAGGAGUUGUUACCACACAAAGGGGGCUUGUCACCACACAAAUGGGGGUUGUCACUGCACAAAUGGGGUGGGAAGGAGUGAGAGGGGACCCCGGGUGAGUGGGGUGGGGUCACUCUCGUGGGUGGGCACUGAGAGAUGAUGAUAGGGACAGGUGGCUUGGUGUGGUGGGACAUCUUCGGGUCUCCUGGGUGGGCACCAUUUUGUCCCCUCGGUGGGCACCACCAUGUCCUGUGGAUGGCCACCACUAUGCUGCCUGGGUGGACACCACGGUUUUUCCUUGAUGACCACCACCGUGUCCUCUGUAUGGACACAACUCUCUCCCCUGGGUGGUGGUCCCUGAGUGGGUGUCCCUAGGUGGCCACCACCAUGUCCCCAUGACCAACACUGUUGUGUCCCUUGGACACUGGCCCCCUCAUGUCCCCGCCAGUGGACAUUCUGAGUAGCCCCUUCCCAUCUCCUCAGUAACUCCCAGGAGAACCCUCCCACACCCAGGCUGAGGGGCCCUCAGAUGUUCUCAUGUGUCCCCAAAGACCUAUCAAGCUCCUUGUCUCCGCACGGACUCUGCCGUGUGUCCAAGGACCCGCUGAGCCCCUGGUCCCCACGUGGACUCUGACGUGUUCCUAAGGGCUUAAGGGAUACGUGGAGCCCCUUGUCCCACUGCAUGUGGGGGCUGGUCCCUGCUGGGGCACCCUGUAAUUGCUGUGGCUCCUGCUGGGCUCCAUGUUCCUGCACCACACUCUAGAGCCAUGCUAGAGCUGCUGCGCCUGUUCCCAUGCCAUGAGGGACAUGCAGAGCUUCCACCAGGAUACCCACAGUUGGGACAACAUUGGCUGUCGGGAGCUGGCACCCUCUGAGGGAGUUGGCAUCCCCAAGGGAGCUGUCAUUGUACCCUGGUGGGCCCUGUCACCACCUGAAGGACCUGUUGCCCUCCAAGGUCCCCAUCACUUUCCCCUUGUAAGUCAACACCAUUGUCCCCCCUACUGUCCCUAUCACUGUCUCACCAUGGUCCCUAUCACUCUCUGUGGUCCCUUUUGCCUCCCUUUUGCCCCCCAU